AAGAAAUUAGUUAAUUUAUAAUACUGACUUGUCAUGCCAGAGUAAUCUUCAAAGAUAUUUCUUA
rnacentral:tRNA from 1 species